AACACCUCACAAUCAAUUUUUAUUUGUUUAGAGAUUGAAAGUGGAUUUGAGUAAUCCGUACUUUUUGUCAACACAAAAGGGCCGGUUACUUGAAAUGCAGGUGCAGCUGGAUUUACAACUGAGCUAUAAGCAUAUCAAUAAGCGGAGGCU
rnacentral:misc_RNA from 1 species